CUGGUGUAAUAAGCGAUUUUUCUCCACCUCUUCCAGUGACCUUCGGGUUCUCGAGUCUUCACAUUGCUGUAGCUGUGAUGCUGAGCUGUAACGCUCGGCUGUGCCUCAGAACUGUGGCACUUGGCUGUAACGCUCAGCUAUAACCCUUGGAUGUUGCACUGAGCUGUUCCGAUUUGCUGCGACAAAAGUAAGAAACAAGAGGAAGAUGGAGAGAGGCUUGCACCAUCCUUCUGGGGAUGAUGUGACCCCGGGAAGCCAGCCCUGGAACGAUUCUACUCCCUACUCCGUGCGUUCUCACUUCAGAGACUUCUGCUAAGAGGAACUGUUUGUGAAUGAAUGAUCUGAGUGAGCCCAUGGCUCAUUCAGCUUCACCCACACCAGUAAUAGGAAAAACCCAAGAAGACGAAACUGGAAAGACAAGUUGGGAUUCAACUGUGGAGUGUUUUAAA